GCCUUCGUGGUGUAGUGGUCAGCACACUCGGCGCGUAUUCCAGAGGUCCGCGGUUCGAAUCCCGGCGAGGGCA
rnacentral:tRNA from 1 species